rnacentral:rRNA from 1 species
AAUGAACGUUGGCGGCGUGGAUUAGGCAUGCAAGUCGAACGGGUCCGGUCUUCGGAUCGGAUCAGUGGCGCAAGGGUGAGUAAGGCGACGGUAACCAGCCCCAUGGUUGGGUAUAGCCGCGGGAAACUGCGGGUAAUCCCCAGCGACGUCCGAAUCGGGCAUCCGAUGCGGACCAAAGUUCCAACGCCGUGGGACGGGCCGUCGUGGUAUUAGGUCGUUGGCGGGGUAACGGCCCACCAAGCCUAUGAUGCCUACCGGGCGUGCGAGCGCGACCCGGCACACUGGGACUGAGACACUGCCCAGACUCCUACGGGAGGCUGCAGUCGAGAAUCUUCGGCAAUGGGCGCAAGCCUGACCGAGCGACGCCGCGUGGAGGAUGAAGGCCUUCGGGUUGUAAACUCCUGUCGAGGGGGAGGAAGGUCGGGUAACCGGCUUGACCGAUCCCUGGAGGAAGCACGGGCUAAGUUCGUGCCAGCAGCCGCCGUAACAC